CAAUAACCAUCAUUAUUCCUUCUGAUGUUAGAAUCAUAGAUUUCACCAGUGAGAACCCUUUCAAGCCAUCUCCUGUGUCAUUUUGAUAUGUUCUCAUCAGUCUUCAAGUGCUUUUUGGCUUUUUCGUACAAGAUAUUUCAAGCUCACUUGUAUGUUAUCUGCCCAUAUAUAGCGUCAGCUAUUUUUUCCAAUGAACCUUGGUUACUUGUAGUAGGUAACUGUAUUUAGAAACUAAUACCUUGGCAUUAGAUAUACUCAUUGCUGCUGGUGUGUCAUAUUAAUUGCUACUGGGGUGUCAUUACCUCCUUUCUGUGGACAGACCUAGCAAGGUUUGUCUUAGGAAAUCAUGAGUUCAUACUAAAACUUCUGAUUCGAAUUCAUCACAACAGGUUUCUUCAGGAUUCUCUUAACUUUCUCAGAUUCAUAUUUCUAUCUCCUUUCUUCUAUAGUGAGAACUCUGGUUCCAAACAAAAAUUCAUUUGCUCAUUUGUUCUAACCAUGCAGUAUAUAUGCACGUGGUGUGUGUGUGUGUGUGUGUGUGUGUGUGUGUGUGUGAGAGAGAGAGAGAGAGUUUUAGAAUUUACUUCUCCAGUAACAUUAUCAAUAACAAAGAUUAUAUUUAGGCUUUCUGGUCAGAAUCAAAUGAUGACGUUUGUUAAAAAAACAGAUUUCUGUGCUUGCCCCUAGCCUGCCAAAACAGAAUACUUGGGAAUAGGUCCCUUUAGUCCUCAUUUAAAAAAAUUAACACUCCAGGUGAUUUAUAAGAACUCUGAUGUUUGAGAUUUGAUGAUGUCAUGACGAGGAGCUUGAGCUUUAGAAAAGAAGGGUUGGUGUCCUUGUUCUGUUUCUUAAUCUCUUCAAUUUCUUCAGCUGUGCAAUGCAAUGAUAACAAUCUCUUCAGGUUCCUCACUUGGGAUAAUCCCUUUUUCAGAGCACAUCUCAUUUCCAAGUGGCUGUUGCGCUGCUGUUUGCCCCCACUCCUUCAGUGCGACAGCCUCAGAGCUGGUGGAAAGACUGCAUGCCACUGGAUAAAUUCGUAGAUGUGGAAUUCCUGGAUCAAAUGGUAUGAACCAGUUUAAGGUUUCUUCUUCAAAACACCUAUCAUUUAUUAUAUGUGGUAAAAAUAUUAUUUUCUAGCCAUUGUUUGCCUAUUGAUUUUUAUCAUUUAUAGUUGUGAUUUUUUAAUAUGUUAUAGUUUUACAUGUUAGAUUUCCAUAUCUGACCAUUUUAAGUGUUGUGAUUUUUUUUCUUUCCUUUGAUUAGUGUAUUCACCUGUAUUUUUCCUAGUUAUUUAAUUGCUUCAUUUUUUACAGUUAACUCUUUAAUCCUCCUAUAAUUCAUUUUGAUUUAUGAUAUACAGAAGGAAUUAAUGUGUUUUCCCCUAAUAGGUCACCAAUUGCUUCAGCAUCACUUAUUGAAAAAUCCAACGCAACAACUGUUCUUCCAUUAGAUAGGGUGUAGCUUUACACAGGUCGGCCAUUUUCUUUACCCAAGAUGAUUACAUUUUGCAAUAGUACUCCUACCUUCCUGCAGCUUCUGACAGCAUACUAGAGCACCAUGUUUGUGCCUUUCAAAAAUCCUAGGCACAUGCAGAUUAGGGCAGUGGUUUUGAAACAGGAUUUUGUUUUUGUUUUUGUUUUUUCAAAUAUGUUUGCCACAUGCUUGAUACAAAUUAAAAUUAAGGAAUCCAAAUAUAUGAAACCACUGUUUGAGGUGUGCUAUUCCUCUUGGGCACACCUGAUAUCCCAAAUGUGUGUUUAAAAAAUGCCCCCAGGGUUAAAGUUUCUCCUUCAACCUCUUUUUUUUUUUUUUGCUCCUUAGAUACUCAAAGAGUUAGUUUCCUGGACUCAGUUUCUGGAAAUUUCUAGAAUGAUGUAAGAGGGAAAUAGAAGAAAUGUGUGAGGAGUUGAAGUAAAUAAUGUUUGCCAGCCUGUUGCUGACAGUAAUCUGAUGUAGGGAUUUAAAGGAGCUAGGGUGAGUCCUAAUCCAUAUGCUACCACUGCCACUACCUCUUCUAGAUAGGGACACACCCCAGUGGGAUCCACCUCUUUUCACACUGCAGAUGUAAGGCUCGAGCUAUAAAGCAAGGAGUUUUUUAGUAGGAGAUGGGUUAAAUAUUGCCCAGAGAGAUCCGACAAGUAAAAUCACUUGCUACCCAUUACCAACGCUUUCUCUCGCCCCCAACGAAGCUUUCUUUCUCUAUUGACUUCUCGCCCCGGGCCUCUAGCUUUACUGAUUCUGGAGAAAAAAGUGGGGAGGGGGUGGAGGAUGGCACGUGAGCGGGAGGCUGCCUGGCCAGCAGUUAUUGCAAGGGGCUCCUUUGGCUCACAGCCUCAGUUCCAGUAGUUUCCUGACUUGCCGCAUUAGGGUGUGUUUUGUUUAUGAGGAGGCUGGUUUCCCUGGCAAUGGCAGCUCGCCAGGGCAUGCGCAAUUGCUCCACUGCAGUAGCAGAAUGCGGCUGUGGGGGGGGCAGGGGAGGGAUCCUGAGGGCCGCAGUGGCUGGAGUUAUUUGGCAGACAUGACGUCAAUUUUUCUGAGCUAAACUGCCAUCGUUAUUGUAUAUAGAGCUUUAGUUUUUUGUUUUUUGUUUUAAAUAAAGCUUGGAAGGUUUUUAGCCACUCCCUUUCUUUCCUCCCAAAUUAACUGCUCUCUAUAUGCUCACCAGUGACCACAAAAUCAUUCUAAGGCUUACCGAUGCCCUCAGGGCCCCGAGGGAAAUCAUAACAGUGUGAGAACAGGAAACAGACUGCCUGGUUUCAGACCUCUGCUGCUUGCUAGUUGCAUGACUGUGGGACAGCUACUUAAAUCUCUCAGUUUCCUCACAUGUAAAAUGAGGCUGAUGACAGCACGUUUAGAACAGUGUCUAGCACAUAGUAACCAUUAUGUAAGUGUUGUCUAUUAUUAUUUGUAGAUACUAAGGGAGACUUCCCUGGAAGCAGACUUGUAUCCGCAGUGUACAAACUUACCCUGUAAUGCACACAAUGACCAGAUAACACAAACACACAUUUAUCCCCACAGCAUACAGACUCUUGUCACAGUACACAGACUUGCUUUCCAGUACACAGACAUAUCCAAAGGCACACUGACAAGCACCACAGCAAAAAGACUUUCCCCAGAGCACACAGACACUCCCAUUGCAUGUAUCAAUAGACUCUCCCAGAGGCACCUAUAUUCUCCUUAAUGCAGAGACUCACCUAAGGCACACUGAUGCACCCAGCAUGACACAGACUUGCCCCCCCAUAAGGACUCCACCAUGGCACACAAACAAUGCCAACAUCACAUACUGUUCCCACAUCACACAAACACUUUCUAGGAAACACAAAGCCUACAGACUUACCCCAUAGAAUACAGCUUCCCCCAUAAGACACAUAUUCUCAAGGCCAAUAGACUCACUCUACAGCACACAGACUUUCUCCGGAGCAUACAGCUUCUUCCUACAGCAAACAGACUCUUCCCAGUGCACACAGACUCCCCUGACAUCACACACUCUCACCAUAGAUCAUAGACUCAUCCUAGAGCACAGGGACUUUUGCCAAUGAAACAGACUUUCCCCGAGAACAGACUCAUGAGACAGCUUGAAGACCCACAUCAUGAUACAAAGACUCCCACAACGGGCAUACUUACCCCAUUGUGUACAGACAAGCACCACAGGCCACAGAGCCCACAGCACACAGACUCACCCAACACUACACAGACAUUUCCCAGAGCACAUAGACUCACCCCACAAGCAGACUAAACCCAUACUACAGAGACUCUCCCUAUAGCUUUCAGGCAAGCUUACCACACCACAUAGAAAUGCAACAAGACAUCUUACAGCAUAUAUCACUCCUUGAUGCACAGAAUUGUGCAACAGCACACAAACUUGUUCUACAGUGCACGAAUUCAUGUCACAAAAGACAUACUUACCACAUAAUACAAAUACUUGCUCCAGAGUACACUCAUUUGCCCUAAACUAUCUGGACCUUCCC
ensembl:lncRNA